rnacentral:rRNA from 1 species
CAGUCGCCGCGGUAAUACGAAGGGGGCUAGCGUUGCUCGGAAUCACUGGGCGUAAAGGGUGCGUAGGCGGGUCUUUAAGUCAGGGGUGAAAUCCUGGAGCUCAACUCCAGAACUGCCUUUGAUACUGAAGAUCUUGAGUUCGGGAGAGGUGAGUGGAACUGCGAGUGUAGAGGUGAAAUUCGUAGAUAUUCGCAAGAACACUAGUGGCGAAGGCGGCUCACUGGCCCGAUACUGACGCUGAGGCACGAAAGCGUGGGGAGCAAACAGGAUUAGAUACCCCUGUAGUCCCUGUCUCUUAUAC